rnacentral:rRNA from 1 species
AGCGAACGCUGGCGGCAGGCCUAACACAUGCAAGUCGAACGAACCUUUCGGGGUUAGUGGCGGACGGGUGAGUAACACGUGGGAACGUGCCUUUAGGUUCGGAAUCACUCAGGGAAACUUGUGCUAAUACCGAAUGUGCCCUUCGGGGGAAAGAUUUAUCGCCUUUAGAGCGGCCCGCGUCUGUUUAGCUGGUUGGUUGAGGUAAUGGCUCACCAAGGCGACGAUCAGUAGCUGGUCUGAGCGGAUGAUCAGCCAGAUUGGGACUGAGACACGGCCCAAACUCCUACGGGGGGCAGCAGUGGGUAAUAUUACGGAAUGAGCGAAAGCGUGACGCAGCCAUGCCGGGUGAAUGAUGAAGGUCUUAGGAUUGUAAAAUUCUUUCACCGGAGACGAUAAUGACGGUACCCGGUGAAGAAGCCCCGGCUAACUACGUG